GGGACUGGAGCAGCAGGCGCUGCCUGAGAACGUCCGCCGUGCUCCUGCAGUCACUGUCCCUGCUCCCCCGAAAUUCAAGGCCCCCUUGCGGCAAGAGUUGGCAGGACCGUGACCACACCGCACUCACGGCGAGGACACAAGGGCAUACGACUGGCGUCCACCGAGCGCACUUUGCAGGCACUUGGGUCCGUGCGUGUGUAUCUGAGCAAACUCCGCGGGAGUGAAUCACGCCGAGGAGACGGAAACGCCAAGUUAUUGAUUCGCGACGGGAACUGUUCCAUCCCAAUGAAAGUUUUGAAGGUCUAAAUAUCCGAAUUCGGCGACAUCCUCCAAAUGCAACGGACUGCUCAUUGGCUGUCCUACCCGGCCUGUGAAAUAUUGCUUCUCCAGUAUUUCCAAUACAUCUCCAACAGGUGUGUUCCUGGUGGUCUUUGGCUGGAUGGCGUUGACAAGUUAUUAAGAGGGUCCACCGAUGGACCCAUAUGGGAACUGCGACAUGGAAUGCGUUUUAUUCUAACAAGCAAAGUUUCCCCCCCCCCCCCCGUUGGAAGACCUAUAAACGAGAAUACAAGUCAUGAAAUACCACUAUUUACAAAUAGAACUGCUCAAAAAAGAAACUAGAAAAAAAAGAGAAAAGGUUGUUGAUCUCAUAACUCCCAGAGCAAAACAGCUUAGUAAAAGGGUAGAGGGAUGGAUAUAUAUGUAUCUGCAUCUGUGUCGGUGUAUGUAUGUACAGUACACAACAGAUCCAUGAUGUUAGGUGGUGGGUGCUCACGGUAGAAAUCUUUCAACGUUGCUGUACGUGAGAAAAGAAAUUUAAGAAGAAAAGAAAAAUGCUGCCAAGAAAAACCUCACAAAGCUAUUGGUCUCGUUCUGGGCUUUCUCCAAGGAAAUGAGACUUGAGGCAGCUUUCCCGCUACAGGCGCGUUUCCCUUUCAAGGCGAGAGAGAGAGAGAGAGAGAGAGAGAGCGCGCGCGCGAGAGAGCGCGCGCGCGCCGGCGCUGACGGCAGGAAACCAGGAAACGGCGCGUGUGUGGGCGGGACAUGCAAAUUAAAGUGGCUGUUUCUCUCGCGAGCUAUGGGAGCAAAACAAUAAAAAGCGUGAAAGCCCCGAACAAGUUAAGCGAUCUGAUAAACUGAGUAUGUCUUAGGAGUUGUGACGAUGACACACUGUCCAGUCUAAGGAAAGAGGGUGAGCCUUCGUUUGAGGGUGACUUUUCUCACCGUGACCCAAAGGAGGAGUGAGAGGGAGGGUGUCGAUGCGCUGGGAACGAUGUGGUUAUCGCUUCUCGGCCUUUUGGCUAAGAUCAAGUGUAGUAUCUGUUCUUAUCAGUUUAAUAUCUGAUACGUCCUCUAUCCGAGGACAAUAUAUUAAAUGGAUUUUUGGAGCUGGGAGAUGGAAUAGGAGCUUGCUCCGUCCACUCCACGCAUCGACCUGGUAUUGCAGUACUUCCGGGAACGGUGCACC